AGAGUUUGAUCAUGGCUCAGGAUGAACGCUAGCGGCAGGCUUAAUACAUGCAAGUCGUGGGGCAGCACAGGUAGCAAUACUGGGUGGCGACCGGCAAACGGGUGCGGAACACGUACGCAACCUUCCUUUAACUGGAGAAUAGCCCGGGGAAACCCGGAUUAAUACUCCGUAACAUUAUGAAGUGGCAUCACUUUAUAAUUAUAGCUCCGGCGGUUGAAGAUGGGCGUGCGUCUGAUUAGGUAGUUGGCGGGGUAACGGCCCACCAAGCCUACGAUCAGUAACUGGUGUGAGAGCACGACCAGUCACACGGGCACUGAGACACGGGCCCGACUCCUACGGGAGGCAGCAGUAAGGAAUAUUGGUCAAUGGACGCAAGUCUGAACCAGCCAUGCCGCGUGGAGGAUGAAGGUCCUCUGGAUUGUAAACUUCUUUUAUUUGGGAAGAAACCCCCGAUUUCUAUUGGGGUUGACGGUACCAGAUGAAUAAGCACCGGCUAACUCCGUGCCAGCAGCCGCGGUAAUACGGAGGGUGCAAGCGUUAUCCGGAUUCACUGGGUUUAAAGGGUGCGUAGGCGGGUUGGUAAGUCCGUGGUGAAAUCUCCAAGCUUAACUUGGAAACUGCCGUGGAUACUAUCAAUCUUGAAUAUAGUGGAGGUGAGCGGAAUAUGUCAUGUAGCGGUGAAAUGCUUAGAUAUGACAUAGAACACCCAUUGCGAAGGCAGCUCGCUACACUAUUAUUGACGCUGAGGCACGAAAGCGUGGGGAUCAAACAGGAUUAGAUACCCUCGUAGUCC
rnacentral:rRNA from 1 species